rnacentral:lncRNA from 1 species
UGCACUCCGAUAAACAAAGAUUAUCUUUGAUGGUUACUGUCAAGCUAAUGAUCUUAGGUUUUUAAGUGGGUUUUCUCUUUUCUAAUCUCUUGAUCAAGUUCAGAACAUAUAACCCAAUAGAUGUAUGGUGAAUGACCAAAAUAACUUCAUUUUUAGCAACUUCUUUGCACAUAACAUCGAUGACAUGAUUUUUCUUACCGGACUAAGUGGUGGGUCUGUCCUAGAACCUGCAUCAUACAAAGGAAUCACUAGUUAGAACUUUUCUGUUACACUAGUGUAGAAUGCAGUGAAUAAAUAGCAUACUUUGUGUAAUGUAGUGCACUAAAAUAACAUCUUUAAAGGGAUGACUGAAUACUGCACUCACUCAGAGAAAUACACAAUUUACAUGACUGAUGAAUCUGGAAAGGUUGCUAGCCGGUUUGUCUUAGCAAUUUAUCAUUAGUAGGACGCCGCUCACAGCAUCUUGGCUAGCCUAUUUUUUGCAUGACCUUUUCUACGGUACAUUUUACUAUCAGAGGAGGAGAGUAAUAUAAGUCUCAACCAACCAUUCAUUUUUCAGGGCAAUAUGGUCUAGAUAAAAGAAUAUCAUCAAGCCUAUGGUUGCGCACAGUUUCUGAAACGUGCAACUACUUAAUUAACCGUUAGAUGAAGAAUCAAUGUCCUAGAAAAAAGAGGCACCAAAAAACGAAUCAAAUUGCACAUCCACACAGCACACGACUAUGAGCAGUUAAGCAACAAUCCUAGUAUCAGCAUCCAAAAAAGAUACUUACCCCUUGAAUCAACCGACAUGUCCGUGUUAUAGUCCCGA